UACGUAUGGUGCAAGCGUUAUCCGGAUUUACUGGGUGUAAAGGGAGCGUAGACGGAGUAGCAAGUCUGAUGUGAAAACCCGGGGCUCAACCCCGGGACUGCAUUGGAAACUGUCAAUCUAGAGUACCGGAGAGGUAAGCGGAAUUCCUAGUGUAGCGGUGAAAUGCGUAGAUAUUAGGAGGAACACCAGUGGCGAAGGCGGCUUGCUGGACGGUAACUGACGUUGAGGCUCGAAAGCGUGGGGAGCAAACAGG
rnacentral:rRNA from 1 species